rfam:Intoshia linei isolate Intl2013 Contig_1, whole genome shotgun sequence.
GAACAUGAAAUCAGGUGUGAUUACCCGCUGAACUUAAGCAUAUCAAUAAGCGGAGGAAAGGAAAUUAACAAAGAUUACCUUAGUAACGGCGAGUGAAACGGUAAAAGCCCAUGCUGAAUCUGGUAUUAACGUACCAGAGUUGUGGCGUUGGUUUGUGACAACUCGCGUUAAUCGCGUUGUUUAAGUUGCAUUUUUGUACGAUUAAAUGACUUUGAAUGGUCUGUUUCAUGGAGGGUGCGAGCCCCGUAUGUCGUACAAAUUUACAGCUAUAUGUCAUAAAUUUGUGAGUCGGAUUGCUUGGAAGUGCAGUCUUAAUAUGGGUGGUAGACUUCAUCCAAGGCUAAAUAUGUUGACACGAGACCGAUAGCGAACAAGUACCGUGAGGGAAAGUUGAAAAGUACUUUGAAAAGAGAGUUAAACAGAAAGUGAAACCGUAUGGAGGGAAGCGGUCAGGAGAGCUAGUAUGGUGCUGUGAUUAUCGAACGUAGUUUUUGAUCAUAGUACCUAGUCACAAGCAUCGAUGUUAAGUAAGAUGAAAUGAUGUGACUUGUCACUUUUAAUGUGAGUCGACUUUUUGUUGACUGCGUAUCGUUUUAUUUUACUUGUGUUGGUGAAAUGGAAUCAUUUUUAGUAUUGGUUUGAAAGUUUGCGUGUACAUCAUUAUUUGCAAAAUGCCGUUUGUCUAGUGUUGUGCUUCGUGCUGUAAAGUGCGCUAGUAUUCACAAGCUUGUGGCCUUGUUGGUAGUUUUGUACAUUCAUCUCUUAAACUAGUACUUUGAUUCGAUUGUGGUUGGAUUUAUUUCCGGUAGCUUUUCUGUCCAUCCCGUCUUGAAACACGGACCAAGGAGUUCAAGUUAUACGCGAGUUAUUCGAAUAAAAACUCGAAUGGCACAAUUAAUGUAAUUUAGUGUGAGCUCUCAAAGGCGCAACACUGGCCCGUCUUAUAGUAUAUGCUAUUGAAACAAAAACUUGGAUGGUGUCGUAAGCGUAUAGCUUGAGACCCGAAAGAUGGUGAACUAUGCCCGAGUAGGGUGAAACCAGCGGAAACACUGGUGGAAGCUCGAAGUGAUUCUGACGUGCAAAUCGAUCACAAAACUUGGGUAUAGGGGCGAAAGACUAAUCGAACCAUCUAGUAGCUGGUUUCCUCCGAAGUUUCCCUCAGGAUAGCUGGCGCCGUAAGCAGUUGUGUCCGGUAAAGCGAAUGAUUAGAGGCAUUGGUGGUGAAAUGCCGUCAACCUAUUCUCAAACUUUAAAUGGACACGAUACGCGACUCACUUAAUUGGAGUCGCGGUUAGAAUGCAGGUGCCAAGUGGGCCAUUUUUGGUAAGCAGAACUGGCGCUGUGGGAUGAACCAAACGUGCGGUUAAGGCGCCCGACAUAACGCUCAUGAGAUACCACAAAAGGCGUUGGUCGAUAUUGACAGCAAGGCGGUGGCCACGGAAGUCGGAAUCCGCUAAGGAGUGUGUUAUAACUCACUUGCCGAAUCGACUAGCCCUGAAAAUGGAUGGCGCUAGAGCGUUAGGCCUAUACCGUACCGUUACUGUAUAUUGUACGCAGUAACGAGUAGGAGGACGUUGCGGUAGUAUUGAAGCGACUCGAUGUGGAUCGACGUCGAACUGCCGUGAGUGCAGAUCUUGGUGGUAGUAGCAAAUAUUCAAAUGAGAACUUUGAAGGCUGAAGUGGAGAAGGGUUCCAUGUGAACAUCAAUUGGACAUGGGUUAGUCGGUCCUAAGCGAUCGGAGAGAUCCGUUCAGAAUGUAUUUAUUUUAUUGACAAGUUUUUGAUUUUGUCAGCAAUUUGAUACUGUGAUCGAAAGGGAAUCAAGUUAAAAUUCUUGAACCUGACUAAUGGAUUCAUCGGCUUUUUGGUCGACAUGCGGUAACGCCAAUGAACCAGAAGACGUUGGCAGUAGUCUCGGGGAGAGUUUUCUUUUCUUCGUUGAGGAAGGCCAGUCCUUGGAAACGGUUCGCCCGACGAUAAGGACGAGGUCUCCGCAGAGCAGCGCUAUUAUGUGCUGUCCGAUGCACUACUGUCGGCCCGUGAAAAUUCUGGGGAGAUAUUCCAAGUCAGUCCGUACCUAUAUCCGCAUCCGGUCUCCAAGGUGAAUAGCCUCUAGUCGAUAGGAGAAUGUAGGUAAGGGAAUUCGGCAACUUGGAUCCGUAACUUUGGGAAAAGGAUUGGCUCUAAGGGCUGAGUCGAAUGGGCUUAUACUCGGAAGAGACGAGUUUUUUGGAUCUUGGCUGUUGUUUUGUUCGUUCAAUUCAUAAGCAAGUCUGAUCAACUUUGUUUUGGAUGGUAUUGGCUUGUGGCUUCGGUCACGUUCGUUCGGCAGAGAGCAGCCAACUUAGAACUGGCACGGACCAGGGGAAUCCGACUGUCUAAUUAAAACAGAGCAUUGCGAUGGUCAACUACUGAUUUUGACGCAAUGUGAUUUCUGCCCAGUGCUCUGAAUGUCAAGAUGAAGAAAUUCAAUGAAGCGCGGGUAAACGGCGGGAGUAACUAUGACUCUCUUAAGGUAGCCAAAUGCC